rnacentral:rRNA from 1 species
UACGGAGGAUCCAAGCGUUAUCCGGAUUUAUUGGGUUUAAAGGGUGCGUAGGUGGAUCUUUAAGUCAGUGGUGAAAGCCUAGAGCUUAACUCUAGAACUGCCAUUGAUACUGAAGAUCUUGAGUGCAGUUGAGGCGGGCGGAAUGUGUCAUGUAGCGGUGAAAUGCUUAGAUAUGACACAGAACACCGAUUGCGAAGGCAGCUCGCUAAACUGUAACUGACACUGAGGCACGAAAGCGUGGGGAGCAAAC